CCUACGGGAGGCUGCAGUGGGGAAUAUUGGACAAUGGGCGAAAGCCUGAUCCAGCCAUGCCGCGUGUGUGAAGAAGGCCUUCGGGUUGUAAAGCACUUUCAGUGGGGAAGAAAGCCUUGGGGCUAAUACCCUCGAGGAAGGACAUCACCCACAGAAGAAGCACCGGCUAACUCCGUGCCAGCAGCCGCGGUAAUACGGAGGGUGCGAGCGUUAAUCGGAAUUACUGGGCGUAAAGCGCGCGUAGGCGGUCUGUUAAGCCGGUUGUGAAAGCCCCGGGCUCAACCUGGGAACGGCAUCCGGAACUGUCAGGCUAGAGUGCAGGAGAGGAAGGUAGAAUUCCCGGUGUAGCGGUGAAAUGCGUAGAGAUCGGGAGGAAUACCAGUGGCGAAGGCGGCCUUCUGGACUGACACUGACGCUGAGGUGCGAAAGCGUGGGUAGCAAACAGGAUUAGAUACCCCAGUAGUC
rnacentral:rRNA from 1 species